GGGCUGGUAGCUAAGCGGUAAAGCACGACGCUCAUAACGUCGCGACGCGGGGGUUCGAAUCCCUCUCAGCCCA
rnacentral:tRNA from 1 species